rnacentral:rRNA from 1 species
UACAGAGGGUGCUAGCGUUGUUCGGAAUCAUUGGGCGUAAAGGGCGUGUAGGCGGUUUGUUAAGUCAUGUGUGAAAUCCCUCGGCUCAACCGGGGAACGACGCAUGAAACUGGCAAGCUAGAGUACCAAAGAGGGGGGUGGAAUUCCCGGUGUAGCGGUGAAAUGCGUAGAUAUCUGGAGGAAUACCGGUGGCGAAGGCGGCAUCCUGGACCGAGAUUGACGCUGAUGAGCGAAAGCUAGGGGAGCAAACGGG